ACAGUUCACUGACUCUGUGUGUUUGCAUAUGUGUCCUGCCUCUCUGCUCCCAGCCGUUAAGAGGCCAGUGUUGAUCAGUGGCUGUCCAGGCCUUUCAGAGACACAAUGAUGAUGCCACUGAUUCUACUGCUGGCCACCCUGGGGCUCCUUGUUCAGGGUUCAUCAGGACAAAUCAUCCUGACUCAGUCUCCUGGAUCUCAGUCUGUUGAUCCAGGACAGACUGUCUCCAUCAGAUGUAAAACCAGUUCAAGUGUUAGUAGCUGGCUUCACUGGUACCUUCAGAAACCUGGAGGAGCUCCUAAACUCCUGAUUUAUCAAGUUACAACCCGUCAGUCUGGAGUUUCAGAUCGUUUUAGUGGAAGUGGAUCUGGGACUGACUUCACUCUGACCAUCAGAGGAGUUCAGACUGAAGAUUCAGGAGUUUACUACUGUCAGCAGGGUUACAGCUUCCCGUUCACACAGUGAAAUAACGUCGUACAA